rnacentral:rRNA from 1 species
UACAGAGGUCUCAAGCGUUGUUCGGAUUUAUUGGGCGUAAAGGGUGCGUAGGCGGCAAUGUAAGUUGGAUGUGAAAUCCUGAGGCUUAACCUCAGAAUUGCAUUCAAUACUGCGUUGCUUGAGCGCUGUAGAGGAGAUUGGAAUUUACGGUGUAGCAGUGAAAUGCGUAGAUAUCGUAAGGAAGACCAGUGGCGAAGGCGGCUCUCUGGACCACAACUGACGCUGAGGCGCGAAAGCUAGGGGAGCAAACAGG